CUACGGGGUGCAGCAGUGGGGAAUAUUGCACAAUGGGCGCAAGCCUGAUGCAGCCAUGCCGCGUGUAUGAAGAAGGCCUUCGGGUUGUAAAGUACUUUCAGCGGGGAGGAAGGGAGUAAAGUUAAUACCUUUGCUCAUUGACGUUACCCGCAGAAGAAGCACCGGCAAACUCCGUGCCAGCAGCCGCGGUAAUACGGAGGGUGCAAGCGUUAAUCGGAAUUACUGGGCGUAAAGCGCACGCAGGCGGUUUGUUAAGUCAGAUGUGAAAUCCCCGGGCUCAACCUGGGAACUGCAUCUGAGACUGGCAAGCUUGAGUCUCGUAGAGGGGGGUAGAAUUCCAGGUGUAGCGGUGAAAUGCGUAGAGAUCUGGAGGAAUACCGGUGGCGAAGGCGGCCCCCUGGACGAAGACUGACGCUCAGGUGCGAAAGCGUGGGGAGCAAACAGGAUUAGAUACCCGCGUAGUC
rnacentral:rRNA from 1 species